GUGGGGAAUAUUGGGCAAUGGGGGAAACCCUGACCCAGCAACGCCGCGUGAAGGAAGAAGGUCUUCGGAUCGUAAACUUCUAUCCUUGGUGAAGAUAAUGACGGUAGCCGAGAAGGAAGCCCCGGCUAACUACGUGCCAGCAGCCGCGGUAAUACGUAGGGGGCAAGCGUUGUCCGGAAUGAUUGGGCGUAAAGGGCGCGUAGGCGGCAUGGUAAGUCUGGAGUGAAAGUCCUGCUUUUAAGGUGGGAAUUGCUUUGGAUACUGUCGGGCUUGAGUGCAGGAGAGGUAAGUGGAAUUCCCGGUGUAGCGGUGAAAUGCGUAGAGAUCGGGAGGAACACCAGUGGCGAAGGCGACUUACUGGACUGUAACUGACGCUGAGGCGCGAAAGUGUGGGGAGCAAACAGGAUUAGAAACCCCUGUAGUCC
rnacentral:rRNA from 1 species